rnacentral:rRNA from 1 species
AUACGUAGGGGGCAAGCGUUGUCCGGAAUUAUUGGGCGUAAAGGGCGCGUAGGCGGAUGUUUAAGUCCGGUGUGAAAGAUCAGGGCUCAACCCUGAGAGUGCAUCGGAAACUGGACAUCUUGAGGACAGGAGAGGAAAGUGGAAUUCCUAGUGUAGCGGUGAAAUGCGUAGAUAUUAGGAGGAACACCAGUGGCGAAGGCAACUUUCUGGACUGUUACUGACGCUGAGGCGCGAAAGCGUGGGGAGCAAACAGGAUUAGAUACCCUGGUAGUCCACGCUGUAAACGAUGAGUGCUAGGUGUAGAGGGUAUCGACCCCUUCUGUGCCGCAGUUAACACAAUAAGCACUCCGCCUGGGGAGUACGGCCGCAAGGUUGAA